UUAAGUUAUUAAGGGCGCACGGUGGAUGCCUUGGCACUAGAAGCCGAUGAAGGACGUUACUAACGACGAUAUGCUUUGGGGAGCUGUAAGUAAGCUUUGAUCCAGAGAUUUCCGAAUGGGGAAACCCAGCAUGAGUUAUGUCAUGUUAUCGAUAUGUGAAUACAUAGCAUAUCAGAAGGCACACCCGGAGAACUGAAACAUCUUAGUACCCGGAGGAAGAGAAAGAAAAUUCGAUUCCCUUAGUAGCGGCGAGCGAAACGGGAAGAGCCCAAACCAACAAGCUUGCUUGUUGGGGUUGUAGGACACUCUAUACGGAGUUACAAAGGACGACAUUAGACGAAUCAUCUGGAAAGAUGAAUCAAAGAAGGUAAUAAUCCUGUAGUCGAAAAUGUUGUCUCUCUUGAGUGGAUCCUGAGUACGACGGAGCACGUGAAAUUCCGUCGGAAUCUGGGAGGACCAUCUCCUAAGGCUAAAUACUCUCUAGUGACCGAUAGUGAACCAGUACCGUGAGGGAAAGGUGAAAAGCACCCCGGAAGGGGAGUGAAAUAGAACCUGAAACCGUGUGCUUACAAGUAGUCAGAGCCCGUUAAUGGGUGAUGGCGUGCCUUUUGUAGAAUGAACCGGCGAGUUACGAUUUGAUGCAAGGUUAAGCAGUAAAUGUGGAGCCGUAGCGAAAGCGAGUCUGAAUAGGGCGUUUAGUAUUUGGUCGUAGACCCGAAACCAGGUGAUCUACCCUUGGUCAGGUUGAAGUUCAGGUAACACUGAAUGGAGGACCGAACCGACUUACGUUGAAAAGUGAGCGGAUGAACUGAGGGUAGCGGAGAAAUUCCAAUCGAACCUGGAGAUAGCUGGUUCUCUCCGAAAUAGCUUUAGGACUAGCCUCAAGUGAUGAUUAUUGGAGGUAGAGCACUGUUUGGACGAGGGGCCCCUCUCGGGUUACCGAAUUCAGACAAACUCCGAAUGCCAAUUAAUUUAACUUGGGAGUCAGAACAUGGGUGAUAAGGUCCGUGUUCGAAAGGGAAACAGCCCAGACCACCAGCUAAGGUCCCAAAAUAUAUGUUAAGUGGAAAAGGAUGUGGCGUUGCCCAGACAACUAGGAUGUUGGCUUAGAAGCAGCCAUCAUUUAAAGAGUGCGUAAUAGCUCACUAGUCGAGUGACACUGCGCCGAAAAUGUACCGGGGCUAAACAUAUUACCGAAGCUGUGGAUUGUCCUUUGGACAAUGGUAGGAGAGCGUUCUAAGGGCGUUGAAGCAUGAUCGUAAGGACAUGUGGAGCGCUUAGAAGUGAGAAUGCCGGUGUGAGUAGCGAAAGACGGGUGAGAAUCCCGUCCACCGAUUGACUAAGGUUUCCAGAGGAAGGCUCGUCCGCUCUGGGUUAGUCGGGUCCUAAGCUGAGGCCGACAGGCGUAGGCGAUGGAUAACAGGUUGAUAUUCCUGUACCACCUAUAAUCGUUUUAAUCGAUGGGGGGACGCAGUAGGAUAGGCGAAGCGUGCGAUUGGAUUGCACGUCUAAGCAGUAAGGCUGAGUAUUAGGCAAAUCCGGUACUCGUUAAGGCUGAGCUGUGAUGGGGAGAAGACAUUGUGUCUUCGAGUCGUUGAUUUCACACUGCCGAGAAAAGCCUCUAGAUAGAAAAUAGGUGCCCGUACCGCAAACCGACACAGGUAGUCAAGAUGAGAAUUCUAAGGUGAGCGAGCGAACUCUCGUUAAGGAACUCGGCAAAAUGACCCCGUAACUUCGGGAGAAGGGGUGCUCUUUAGGGUUAACGCCCAGAAGAGCCGCAGUGAAUAGGCCCAAGCGACUGUUUAUCAAAAACACAGGUCUCUGCUAAACCGUAAGGUGAUGUAUAGGGGCUGACGCCUGCCCGGUGCUGGAAGGUUAAGAGGAGUGGUUAGCUUCUGCGAAGCUACGAAUCGAAGCCCCAGUAAACGGCGGCCGUAACUAUAACGGUCCUAAGGUAGCGAAAUUCCUUGUCGGGUAAGUUCCGACCCGCACGAAAGGCGUAACGAUUUGGGCACUGUCUCAACGAGAGACUCGGUGAAAUCAUAGUACCUGUGAAGAUGCAGGUUACCCGCGACAGGACGGAAAGACCCCGUGGAGCUUUACUGUAGCCUGAUAUUGAAAUUCGGCACAGCUUGUACAGGAUAGGUAGGAGCCUUUGAAACGUGAGCGCUAGCUUACGUGGAGGCGCUGGUGGGAUACUACCCUAGCUGUGUUGGCUUUCUAACCCGCACCACUUAUCGUGGUGGGAGACAGUGUCAGGCGGGCAGUUUGACUGGGGCGGUCGCCUCCUAAAAGGUAACGGAGGCGCUCAAAGGUUCCCUCAGAAUGGUUGGAAAUCAUUCAUAGAGUGUAAAGGCAUAAGGGAGCUUGACUGCGAGACCUACAAGUCGAGCAGGGUCGAAAGACGGACUUAGUGAUCCGGUGGUUCCGCAUGGAAGGGCCAUCGCUCAACGGAUAAAAGCUACCCCGGGGAUAACAGGCUUAUCUCCCCCAAGAGUUCACAUCGACGGGGAGGUUUGGCACCUCGAUGUCGGCUCAUCGCAUCCUGGGGCUGUAGUCGGUCCCAAGGGUUGGGCUGUUCGCCCAUUAAAGCGGUACGCGAGCUGGGUUCAGAACGUCGUGAGACAGUUCGGUCCCUAUCCGUCGUGGGCGUAGGAAAUUUGAGAGGAGCUGUCCUUAGUACGAGAGGACCGGGAUGGACAUACCUCUGGUGUACCAGUUGUCGUGCCAACGGCAUAGCUGGGUAGCUAUGUGUGGACGGGAUAAGUGCUGAAAGCAUCUAAGCAUGAAGCCCCCCUCAAGAUGAGAUUUCCCAACUUCGGUUAUAAGAUCCCUCAAAGAUGAUGAGGUUAAUAGGUUCGAGGUGGAAGCAUGGUGACAUGUGGAGCUGACGAAUACUAAUCGAUCGAAGACUUAAUCAA
rnacentral:rRNA from 1 species